CAGCAGCCGCGGUAAUACGUAGGGGGCGAGCGUUACCCGGAUUCACUGGGCGUAAAGGGGGUGUAGGCGGCUCGGUAAGUCGGGUGUGAAAUCCCACGGCUCAACCGUGGAAUUGCGCCCGAAACUGCCGAGCUUGGGGCCGGUAGAGGGAGACGGAACUGCCGGUGUAGGGGUGAAAUCCGUAGAUAUCGGGAGGAACACCAGUGGCGAAGGCGGCCUCCUGGCCCGUUCCUGACGCUGAGACCCGAAAGCGUGGGGAGCAAACCGGAUUAGAUCCCCGGGUAGUCCACGCCGUAAACGGUGGGCACUAGGUGUGGGGGGUUAAUCCCUCCGUGCCGAAGCUAACGCAUUAAGUGCCCCGCCUGGGGAGUACGGCCGCAAGGUUGAAACUUAAAGGAAUUGGCGGG
rnacentral:rRNA from 1 species